GGUGAGUGGCCGAGAGGCUGAAGGCGCUCCCCUGCUAAGGGUAUGCGGUCAAAGCUGCAUCCGGGGUUCGAAUCCCGCCUCACCGCCA
rnacentral:tRNA from 1 species